AAAACACGUUUUGUCUUUUUACUUGUUGAGUGUUUGGAGAAGAUGCAGUGAUGGCACCACAGGGCUUUCAGGUUAGCCUGAGUGAGGACAGUGUAAUGUGCUUCAAAUUUCUCAGGAAAUGAAUGAAAUGGGCAGUCGUUUCCACCCAGUGAGCUGGGCAACACAUGUCUCUGAGAAGGAAAGAGGCCUUAUACAUGCUGAGAGACAUAGCACUCCCUAGGAUGUAGCUUGUACAGAGACCAUGUGCUGGACUCUCUGAGGGAUGAAACACACCCCUAACUUUAUUUCUAGCUAGUUGAGACCUGAACUGUUCACAGCUGCUUGAUUAGUUAUAAAAACUCCUGAACCAGGGCCAUGUAGACCUUCCUCAAAGGACAGGAUCAGAUCUCCCUCUUGUCCUCAAGGGUCACCUGAGGCACCUGAAAAACCCUCUGCCCCUAGUACGGGACAUGAGAAUGUGAAAGAGUUGAAUAUAAUGAAACAUGUUGCGGAUGGUUUGUUUUUCUUGCACACAGUCUAUGCAAGUCAGAAUCAACUUCCAUCCCCCUCCAUCUUUUAUGAGACCUAGGACAUGGUGCAACUCCCAUGGGGAAUAUCAGUUGUGUCUCUAUCAUGGAUGCAGAGAAAGACAAGGUAGACACACAAAUGCACCCUGACAAAUAUGUGCUCAUCCAAGGCCACAGAUGUAUUGAAGAAGAAAACACGCAUAUAGAAGAACAGAAGUUCCCUUUGCAAUAACUCAAUCACUUUGACAUAGAGGACCUCCCUUUUACAAUGGG
rnacentral:lncRNA from 1 species